CAGUUAGGGGAAUGAUGUACUACCGGCGGGCUAUUAAGCUUCAGGCUUUUCUUGAUAUGGCAAAUGAAAAGGGUACGUAUA
rfam:Cajanus cajan CcLG11_2958, whole genome shotgun sequence.